rnacentral:SRP_RNA from 1 species
AAAAAAUCAGUGUGUACAACACUCCACCUUUUUUAGUCCCACCUCGCCGAGCGAGAGUGCAAUCACACAGCUUAAAUAGCUUCCUCCACAUCACUUACUCGCCGAGCUCAGUUGCGCGAGCUUGUAACCCGAGUGGGGGCAUUAAAGUGAUGAGGACGUUGCCAUAGCGCUGCGGGCUUGGUUUAGUUGUGCUAUUGCUGGCCCGCCCGUUUCAAAUUGCGUAGUGAAUUGUUGGGGCCUAUGCGAAAGCUGAGCCUCAUUGUCCAUAAUGUGGCAGGCAAAGAGUGAGACUGGCUUCACAAAGCAGCGACAACUGACCGCUUCCAACGGUGGAAGGAUAACGGGCUGCUGCACUACUUAGCCGCUUGGGCCUCGCAGCCUACUUCAACGAACCAUCAUUUUU